AGUGAACGCUGGCGGUAGGCCUAACACAUGCAAGUCGAACGGCAGCACAGUAAGAGCUUGCUCUUACGGGUGGCGAGUGGCGGACGGGUGAGGAAUACAUCGGAAUCUACUUUUUCGUGGGGGAUAACGUAGGGAAACUUACGCUAAUACCGCAUACGACCUACGGGUGAAAGCAGGGGAUCUUCGGACCUUGCGCGAUUGAAUGAGCCGAUGUCGGAUUAGCUAGUUGGCGGGGUAAAGGCCCACCAAGGCGACGAUCCGUAGCUGGUCUGAGAGGAUGAUCAGCCACACUGGAACUGAGACACGGUCCAGACUCCUACGGGAGGCGGCAGUGGGGAAUAUUGGACAAUGGGCGCAAGCCUGAUCCAGCCAUACCGCGUGGGUGAAGAAGGCCUUCGGGUUGUAAAGCCCUUUUGUUGGGAAAGAAAAGCAGCAGGUUAAUACCCCGCUGUUCUGACGGAACCCAAAGAAUAAGCACCGGCUAACUUCGUG
rnacentral:rRNA from 1 species